rnacentral:rRNA from 1 species
UGAGGAAUAUUGGACAAUGGGCGCAAGCCUGAUCCAGCCAUGCCGCGUGCAGGAUGACGGUCCUAUGGAUUGUAAACUGCUUUUGUACAGGAAGAAACAGUUCUACGUGUGGAACCUUGACGGUACUGUAAGAAUAAGGAUCGGCUAACUCCGUGCCAGCAGCCGCGGUAAUACGGAGGAUCCAAGCGUUAUCCGGAAUCAUUGGGUUUAAAGGGUCCGUAGGCGGUUAGAUAAGUCAGUGGUGAAAGCCCAUCGCUCAACGGUGGAACGGCCAUUGAUACUGUCUGACUUGAAUUAUUAGGAAGUAACUAGAAUAUGUAGUGUAGCGGUGAAAUGCUUAGAGAUUACAUGGAAUACCAAUUGCGAAGGCAGGUUACUACUAAUGGAUUGACGCUGAUGGACGAAAGCGUGGGUAGCGAACAGGAUUAGAUACCCUUGUAGUCCCUGAGCGGGCUGGCAAGGCGCAU